rnacentral:rRNA from 1 species
UUAAGCGACUAAGCGUACACGGUGGAUGCCCUGGCAGUCAGAGGCGAUGAAGGACGUGCUAAUCUGCGAUAAGCGUCGGUGAGGUGAUAUGAACCGUUAUAACCGGCGAUUUCCGAAUGGGGAAACCCAGUGUGUUUCGACACACUAUCAUUAACUGAAUCCAUAGGUUAAUGAGGCGAACCGGGGGAACUGAAACAUCUAAGUACCCCGAGGAAAAGAAAUCAACCGAGAUUCCCCCAGUAGCGGCGAGCGAACGGGGAGGAGCCCAGAGCCUGAAUCAGUGUGUGUGUUAGUGGAAGCGUCUGGAAAGGCGCGCGAUACAGGGUGACAGCCCCGUACACAAAAAUGCACAUAUUGUGAGCUCGAUGAGUAGGGCGGGACACGUGGUAUCCUGUCUGAAUAUGGGGGGACCAUCCUCCAAGGCUAAAUACUCCUGACUGACCGAUAGUGAACCAGUACCGUGAGGGAAAGGCGAAAAGAACCCCGGCGAGGGGAGUGAAAAAGAACCUGAAACCGUGUACGUACAAGCAGUGGGAGCCUCUUAAUGGGGUGACUGCGUACCUUUUGUAUAAUGGGUCAGCGACUUAUAUUCUGUAGCAAGGUUAACCGAAUAGGGGAGCCGAAGGGAAACCGAGUCUUAACUGGGCGUUAAGUUGCAGGGUAUAGACCCGAAACCCGGUGAUCUAGCCAUGGGCAGGUUGAAGGUUGGGUAACACUAACUGGAGGACCGAACCGACUAAUGUUGAAAAAUUAGCGGAUGACUUGUGGCUGGGGGUGAAAGGCCAAUCAAACCGGGAGAUAGCUGGUUCUCCCCGAAAGCUAUUUAGGUAGCGCCUCGUGAAUUCAUCUCCGGGGGUAGAGCACUGUUUCGGCAAGGGGGUCAUCCCGACUUACCAACCCGAUGCAAACUGCGAAUACCGGAGAAUGUUAUCACGGGAGACACACGGCGGGUGCUAACGUCCGUCGUGAAGAGGGAAACAACCCAGACCGCCAGCUAAGGUCCCAAAGUCAUGGUUAAGUGGGAAACGAUGUGGGAAGGCCCAGACAGCCAGGAUGUUGGCUUAGAAGCAGCCAUCAUUUAAAGAAAGCGUAAUAGCUCACUGGUCGAGUCGGCCUGCGCGGAAGAUGUAACGGGGCUAAACCAUGCACCGAAGCUGCGGCAGCGACACUAUGUGUUGUUGGGUAGGGGAGCGUUCUGUAAGCCUGUGAAGGUGGCCUGUGAGGGUUGCUGGAGGUAUCAGAAGUGCGAAUGCUGACAUAAGUAACGAUAAAGCGGGUGAAAAGCCCGCUCGCCGGAAGACCAAGGGUUCCUGUCCAACGUUAAUCGGGGCAGGGUGAGUCGACCCCUAAGGCGAGGCCGAAAGGCGUAGUCGAUGGGAAACAGGUUAAUAUUCCUGUACUUGGUGUUACUGCGAAGGGGGGACGGAGAAGGCUAUGUUGGCCGGGCGACGGUUGUCCCGGUUUAAGCGUGUAGGCUGGUUUUCCAGGCAAAUCCGGAAAACCAAGGCUGAGGCGUGAUGACGAAGCACUACGGUGCUGAAGCGACAAAUGCCCUGCUUCCAGGAAAAGCCUCUAAGCAUCAGGUAACAUCAAAUCGUACCCCAAACCGACACAGGUGGUCAGGUAGAGAAUACCAAGGCGCUUGAGAGAACUCGGGUGAAGGAACUAGGCAAAAUGGUGCCGUAACUUCGGGAGAAGGCACGCUGAUAUGUAGGUGAAGCGACUUGCUCGUGGAGCUGAAAUCAGUCGAAGAUACCAGCUGGCUGCAACUGUUUAUUAAAAACACAGCACUGUGCAAACACGAAAGUGGACGUAUACGGUGUGACGCCUGCCCGGUGCCGGAAGGUUAAUUGAUGGGGUUAGCGGCAACGCGAAGCUCUUGAUCGAAGCCCCGGUAAACGGCGGCCGUAACUAUAACGGUCCUAAGGUAGCGAAAUUCCUUGUCGGGUAAGUUCCGACCUGCACGAAUGGCGUAAUGAUGGCCAGGCUGUCUCCACCCGAGACUCAGUGAAAUUGAACUCGCUGUGAAGAUGCAGUGUACCCGCGGCAAGACGGAAAGACCCCGUGAACCUUUACUAUAGCUUGACACUGAACAUUGAGCCUUGAUGUGUAGGAUAGGUGGGAGGCUUUGAAGUGUGGACGCCAGUCUGCAUGGAGCCGACCUUGAAAUACCACCCUUUAAUGUUUGAUGUUCUAACGUUGGCCCGUAAUCCGGGUUGCGGACAGUGUCUGGUGGGUAGUUUGACUGGGGCGGUCUCCUCCUAAAGAGUAACGGAGGAGCACGAAGGUUGGCUAAUCCUGGUCGGACAUCAGGAGGUUAGUGCAAUGGCAUAAGCCAGCUUGACUGCGAGCGUGACGGCGCGAGCAGGUGCGAAAGCAGGUCAUAGUGAUCCGGUGGUUCUGAAUGGAAGGGCCAUCGCUCAACGGAUAAAAGGUACUCCGGGGAUAACAGGCUGAUACCGCCCAAGAGUUCAUAUCGACGGCGGUGUUUGGCACCUCGAUGUCGGCUCAUCACAUCCUGGGGCUGAAGUAGGUCCCAAGGGUAUGGCUGUUCGCCAUUUAAAGUGGUACGCGAGCUGGGUUUAGAACGUCGUGAGACAGUUCGGUCCCUAUCUGCCGUGGGCGCUGGAGAACUGAGGGGGGCUGCUCCUAGUACGAGAGGACCGGAGUGGACGCAUCACUGGUGUUCGGGUUGUCAUGCCAAUGGCACUGCCCGGUAGCUAAAUGCGGAAGAGAUAAGUGCUGAAAGCAUCUAAGCACGAAACUUGCCCCGAGAUGAGUUCUCCCUGAGACUUAGAGUCUCCUGAAGGAACGUUGAAGACGACGACGUUGAUAGGCCGGGUGUGUAAGCGCAGCGAUGCGUUGAGCUAACCGGUACUAAUGAACCGUGAGGCUUAACCUU